CACUGGUCUGACCCUGGGCUUUAGAAAUCCACAGACAACAGGAAGGAAGCUUAUUAACCCCUCUCCUCCCCCUCCCUCUUCCCCUCCCCGGUGGAGAAUCAGCUCCUCCUCCUCCCAGUCGGUCGUGCGACCCUGGUGCAAAAUGCAAACAACCGCCCGCAUUCCCCACCCUGCGCGGCUCUCCCGAAGGAGGGAGAGAGAAGAGGCGAGGGCUGCCCCAAGCGGAGUCUAGCAAGUCUGUCAAUCGGGCGUGAAAGUCCCGACGAGGCGACUUGGACCUCAGCUCCGUCGCACCAGCCGGACACUGCAGGGACCCCCUUUACCUGCCUCUCUGCUGGGUUUGCAUCCGGCACCCCAACUCCUAUACUAAUUUUCCCCCAGCCGCAUAAUACCCCGGGCCCCUGAUCCCAGUGCAGGUGGUGCAAACGCCCCUGCUCUCCGGCGCCCCCUGCCGGGAAGAGGGAAGGCGGCGGCGGCGGCGGCCGCGGACUAGCCGGACGCCGGGGCCGGGACCGAGCUCGGGCGCUGGGAAGAAGCCGGGAGCUUCCCUGAUGGUGCCGCCGCCUCCGAGCCGGGGAGGAGCUGCCAGGGGCCAGCUGGGCAGGAGCCUGGGUCCGCUGCUGCUGCUCCUGGCGCUGGGACACACGUGGACCUACAGAGAGGAGCCUGAGGACAGCGACAGAGAGAUCUGCUCAGAGAACAAAAUCGCGACGACUAAAUACCCGUGUCUGAAGCCGUCAGGCGAGCUCGCCACAUGCUACAGGAAAAAGUGCUGCAAAGGGUAUAAAUUUGUUCUUGGACAAUGCAUCCCAGAAGAUUACGACGUCUGUGCCGAGGCUCCCUGUGAACAGCAGUGCACAGACAACUUUGGCCGCGUGCUGUGUACCUGUUAUCCGGGAUACCGAUAUGACCGAGAGAGACACCGGAAGCGGGAGAAGCCGUACUGCCUGGAUAUUGAUGAGUGUGCCAACAGCAAUGGGACGCUGUGUGCCCACAUCUGCAUCAAUACCUUGGGCAGCUACCGCUGUGAGUGCCGGGAAGGCUACAUCCAGGAAGAUGAUGGGAAGACGUGUACCAGGGGAGACAAAUACCCCAAUGACACUGGCCAUGAGAAGUCUGAGAAUGCUGUGAAAGCUGAAACUUGCUGUGCCACAUGCAAGGAGUUCUACCAGAUGAAGCAAACCGUGCUGCAGCUGAAGCAAAAGAUUGCCCUGCUCCCCAACAAUGCUGCUGACUUGGGCAAGUAUGUUACCGGUGACAAGGUGCUGGCCUCAAACGCCUACCUUCCAGGACCUCCUGGCCUGCCUGGGGGCCAGGGCCCUCCCGGCUCACCAGGACCAAAGGGAAGCCCAGGCUUCCCCGGUAUGCCAGGCCCUCCUGGGCAGCCUGGCCCUCGGGGCUCAAUGGGACCCAUGGGACCAUCUCCUGAUCUGUCCCACAUUAAACAAGGCCGAAGGGGCCCUGUGGGUCCACCAGGUGCACCAGGAAGAGAUGGUUCUAAGGGGGAGAGAGGAGCGCCUGGGCCCAGAGGGUCUCCAGAGGAAGAGGAUGAGGCUGAGUGUGGCACGGAGGCACGUGAAUGCCCGCAUGCAGAGGGGAUGCUUGAAAAUUAAACCACCCAUAAAGCAAGGCAUUAUAAGUGGGCUGUGAGUGUCACCAACACUGAUCUGAGCAACAGAGGUCCGGAUUUGCUAAGCCUCACGGGUGAGUGAAUGAAUGAUGGGAGUUGGAGGCAAGGAGGUUACCAGAGAUUCCUCAGUGCUCUGGGGAGAUGUUUUCAAGCCAGCAAAACCAGCCUUGGUAAGAUCUGACAUCUGAAUAGGACAGUGUAAAAACCCACAAAGAGACUUUCGCCUAGUUCUCCUUUUAAGUAAAGUCAGGUGGGCAGGGGCAGGGGGAUUCCCAUGAGAAAGUUUUAUGUUACUUUUGUAGCAGAUUAUGAAUUAUACCUUGGAACCACCACAAAACAAUUUGAACACAGUGUUUCCUGCAUCUGGAAUUGCAGGCUGUCAGCCACAGCUUUGCUCACCUCCCUAGCUAAGCCACCUACCUUCUUGUGGGGAAGACAAAUCGCCCCCUGUGGUCUUGUUGCCCUGCCUCACCCCUUGAGAACCUUCUUUCUUUUCUUUCCUUCUUUCUUUCUUUUAUGUACAUUUAGUUCCCACAGGCUUCCUUUAUCAAUAUUUCAAUUGGUUGCUGCUGACCUAUACUUGAAUCCAAAUAUUUGCCCUAUUCAGUAUGCAUUGUUCAUUCAGCCAAAUGCUCGAUUAUGUCUGUGCUCUUUUGAGCAAAUUGAAUGGGCUACUUGACUAUGUAAUGCCGAUAUAGCCUGGUCAUUAGUAGUGUUUGUUAGAAUUGACCAGAUGCAACAAGGAAGGAAAGGGAGGGAAGAAGGAGGUUUGUGUUCGGUUUUCCUUCUAGAACAACCAUGGUGAAGAAAGUGAAAUUGUGUACUUCCCAGGGCACAGAUAUAAACUGCCUUCCUGUUCUUCCAAAUGGGCCCGUAGUCUAAUAUGAAUCAAAUGAGUCGGGGUUCAAAGGAGAUGGAUACUCCUGAAGGCUCACAAGUUUAUAUAUUCAUUGGGAAACUACUCUCUGUAAAAUCAUGACUGGCCGUCUUAUUGUUUAGAUCAAGACACAAGAAGUAAAAUAACGCUAACUCCAAGCCUUGUUCUUGGUUAAUAUUACUCCCUGCACUGAUUCUAUGGCCUUUUUCCCAUAUUCAAACUAACCUUUUAUGAAUGUCAAAAGCCACGUCACUGGAAAAUUUUUAACUAUCAUGUGCUGAACUAUAAUUCACACUUUAGGGGAGGAAAAGCUGUCUCCUCUAUCCUCUCAUGUUCAGUGACUGGGGCUCUGCAAAUUAAAGUUACAAAAGAUAGGGCCGUGCGCAGUGGCUCACACCCGUAAUCCCAGCACGUUGGGAGGUCGAGGUGAGCAGAUCACCUAAGGUCAGGAGUUCGAAACCGGCCUGACUGAUAUGGCGAAACCCCAUCUCUACCAAAACUACAAAAAGUAGCCAGGCAUGGUGCUGGGUGCCUGUAAUCCCAGCUCCCGGGGAGGCUGAAGCUGGAGAAUCGCUUGGACCUGGGAGGUGGCGUUGGUGGUUGCGGUAAGCUGAGAUUGCGCCUUUGCACUCUAGCCUGUGUAGCAAGAGCAAAACUCCAUCUCAAAAAAAAAAAAAAGUUACAAAAGAUAUACUAACAGGAAGAAAAAAAGUCUGUUUAUGCUUGCAGUGCACAUACAUGCUAGAGAACUCAGUGAUGGGUAACUCAAAAAAGUGGUUAUAAUCAAGGGUUGUCUAUUGUCUUAACAAAGGGUGAUGAAUUGUGGAGAAGAGGCUAGACAAAGGAAAAGGGUUUGGGGCUUUGGGGGAAUGGUAAGUUAUGGGAAAGAAACAAAAAAGUAUAGUAAAUAAAGGUAAUUUAGCAUGACCCUUAUCAGACUCUUAUUUCAGCCGGGCACGGUGGCUCACACCUGUAAUCCCAGCACUUUGGGAGGCCAAGAUGGGUGGAUCACCUGAGGUCGGGAGUUCGAGACCAGCCUGACCAGCAUGGAGAAACCCCAUCUCUACUAAAAAAUACAAAAAAUUAGCUGGGCAUGGUGGUGCAUGCCUGUAAUUCCAGCUAGUUGGGAGGCUGAGGCAGAAGAAUAGCUUGAACCUGGGAGGCAGAGGUUGUGGUGAGCUGAGAUCACACCAUUGCACUCCAGCCUGGGCAACAAGAGUGAAACGCGGUCUCAAAAAAAGAGUCAUCUCAGGUGAUACAAAUGUCUCAGAGUAGUUCUCUUCUUGUGAUGGAAGAGUGAGACACUGUUCCAACUGAUAUUACCUUUCCAAAGGGAAAAUUAUGCCCUUUUUGACGGAAAUGGAGACAGCAGAGAGCAAAUUGCCGUAAGUUCAACAUAGUCCUUCCACCGAAAGGGCAUAUUUGCGGUGCCAUCCUCCGAUUCUCUUCAAUGCAGUAAGUAUUUACUGACCACCUAUGACAUACACAGUACUGAGUUAUGUUGUGAAAACCCUUCAGGCACAAUAAGAGUUAAAAUUUGGCCCUGACCCAAGCACAGAAACCAGUACAGAUCCAGGAGAAUUUUGCCAGGAACAAGAGUGGCUUUUAAAUGCAGAUUAAUUUUUCCAGUGCCCCGGAGCAGGAAGUGGUAAUAAGAAAGUACCUCUGUAUUGGCGCUUGCUCUUGAGGAGAUCCUAUCUUACUGGCAAAGGCAGACAUGUAAAUAAUGUAGAAAAGAUGGGAAAGAGAAUACUUGGAGCAAGGUACCAAGUGAAGUAAUUAUGGACCACAAAGAAAUAAAACGGAAUGUGAAUGGAAGUUACCCUUGCCCUCUAGGACUUUACAGCCUGUUAAAGGAGGUAAUUUAUGGACACAAAUAAAGGUAUCUAAGGCAGACUGCUUAAAGGAGCAAGUAGCAAGGUGACAUGGGCACUUAGGGAUAGAAGAGGUCAUGUUUCAAGAGCAUGUGUAUGUCCAGCCCAUGUUUUUUAAAGCUCUGCUUGAAGCUCGUGGCUCUGAUGCUCCUUCAAGCUCACAUCACGUGUAUUUUAAGUUUGUCUGAAGAAUUUACAAGAUUCUUUAAACAUCUUUUAUAUAAUUUUUGAUUAUAACAGGAUUUGCUUUGUUUCCCUGCUUCUAUUACACUGAGUGCAAUGCUCCAUUAUAUAGAAGAGGAAUGGGAUGGAGGGAAAUGGGUAUUUAUUAAGCACUCGCUGUGUACCAGCCCCAAAACUUGGUAGGCACUUUCAACUUUGUGUCUCAUUUAUGAAGAAGAUUUUCACUUGCUUCUUGGUUCUACUUCAUUCAAGAUUCCCCAUGCCUCGUAAUCCUAAGUUCCCCUUCCCGGCAAUCCCUGCUCACCUCCCUGUGGGCAGAGGAGGGACCCUGCGCACCUACCACGGUGUCACUCGGACCAGCUCUUGCCUCUGGCUGAGCAGCCUUAGAGCUCCUUCAACUGUCAGCAUUACUUGAGUGUUAGGGUUAUUUCUAAGAUCAGAGGGGUACAAGCCCUGUUCUGACUGUUCUCGAAGCUUGUUUCCACAGAGAGAUUCUCCUCCUCCCUUUCCAGGUCUUCUAAAGCUACACUCUCCGAGCCAGAUCCACACAUCACCAUCUCCGGGGACCUGCUGGAUGGGCCUCACUCCUAUAUCAUUUGAAAACACUCCCGGCCUUUGUUUCCUCCUAGAAUGCAUGUUGACCUGAAAAGAGCAUGAGCUUCAGGUGGAAACCCCAGAGUUGGAAGCACAGUUUGAGAAUGCAGGCAUUAUUGGGCCUAAGGCAGGCCAUCUCAUCCUCCUUCCCAGUAGUCCCUCAGUUUGUGUUUGAAGAUCCAUGAAGUUAAGAAAAGCUAUCAUUAACCUUGUACAAAGAGAAGAGCAAGUGACCUUGGCCAAGUCAGUCAUCACAUUCUAUUCCUCUGCCUUCGUGAUUAUUUUAGGGAAAGACAUGUGAGCUGAGCAGUCCAUGAACAGUGAACUUCAGAACUUUUUAGGGAGUCAUAAGUCAAACUGCUCUCUUGGUUAUAUGGUGUAAUGUAGAGAUGUGAAGUCUGGAAGUGCUGCAGUCAUUUUGCUAUCAUCAGAGUGCAUCUGAAGAUGAAACUGACACAUGGAGGAAAGCAGAGGCUGACACCCUAAUCCAGCUGUACCUGAAGCCGAGCCCACCUUAAGUCUUUCUUACUUAUAUGAGCCAAUACGCUUUAUUGCUCGAUCAAUUUGAUUUGGGUUCUCUAUAUUGCCACUAAAAUCACCCAAAUUGAUAUAGGACUUAAUCAUUCCCAUUGGAACUUUGUUUAAAACAGAGGAGGAUGCUGUCAGAUCAGGAAAACUCCUCAAAGUAAGAAAUGUUGCAUAAGAGAUCUAGCAAGAUGGCCAAAUAGGAACAGCUGCGGUCUGCAGCUCCUAGUGAGACCAGUGCCAAAGGUGGGUUAUUUCUGCAUUUCCAACUCAGUGGCAUCUGGAACCCCAGCAAGACAGAACUGUCCACUCCCCUGGAAAUGGGGCUGAAGCCAGGGAGCCAAGUGGUCUCGCUCAGCAGGACCCACUCCCAUGGAGCCCAGCAAGCUAAGAACCACUGGAUUGAAAUUUUUGCUGCCAGCACAGCAGUCUGAAGACAACCUAAGACUUGGUGGGGGAGGGGUGUCCACCAUUACUGAGGCAUGAGUAGAACUUUUUCCCUGACAGUGCUAAGGAGGCCGGGAAGUUCUCACUGGGUAGACAUCACCACAGUGUGGCAAAGCAGCUGCAGCCAGUCUGCCUCUCUAGAUUCCUCCUCACUAGGCAGGGCAUCUCUGAAAGAAAGGCAGCAGCCCCACUCAGGGACUUAUAGAAAAAACUCCCAUCUACCUGGGACAGAGCACUUGGGGGAGGGGGCAGCUGUGGGCACAGCUUCAGUGGACUUAAACAUUCCUGCCUGCCAGCUCGAAAGACAGCAGAGGAUCCUGACAAAGAGGAUUCUCCCGGCACAGCACUUGAGCCCUGCUAAGGGACAGACUGCCUCCUCAAGUGGAUCCCUGACCCCUUUGCCUCCUGAUUGGGAGAGACCUCCCAGCAGGGGUCAACAGACACCUCAUACAGGAGAGCUCUGGCUGGCACCUAACAGGUGCCACUCUGGGAUGAAGCUUCCAGGGGAAGGAGCAGGCAGCAAUCUUUGCUGUUCUGCAGCAUCUGCUGGUGAUACCCAGGCAAACAGGGUCUGGAGUGGACCUCCAGCAAACUGCAGCAGACCUGCAGAAGAGGGGCCUGACAAAACUAACAAACAGAAAGCAAUAACAUCAUCAUCAACAAAAAGGACCCACACACAAAAACCCCAUUCAGAGGUCAUCAGCCUCAAAGAUCAAAGGUAGAUAAAUCCACUAAGAUGAAGAAAAACCAGCAGAAAAAUGCUGAAAAAUCCAAAAACCAGAAGGCCUUUUCUCCUCCAAACGCAAGGGCACAAAACUGGAUGGAGAAUGAGUUUGACAAAUUGACAGAAAUAGGCUUCAGAAGGUGGGUAAUAACAAACUCCUCUGAGCUAAAGGAGCAUGUUCCAGCCCAAUGCAAGGAAGCUAUAAACCUUGAUAAAAUGUUACAGGAACUGCUAACUGGAAUAACCAGUUUAGAGAAAACGUAAAUGACCUGGUGGAGCUGAAAAAACACAGCAUGAGAACAUUGUGAAGCAUACACAAGUAUCAAUAGCCAAAUUGAUCCAGCAGAAGAAAGGAUAUCAGAGAUUGAAGAUCAACUUACUGAAAUAAAGUGUGAAGACAAAAUUAAAGGAAAAAAAAUGAAAAGGAAUGAACAAAGCCUCCAAGAAAUAUGGGAUUAUGUGAAAAGACCAAACCUAUGACUGAUUGAUAUACCUGAAAGUAACAGGGAGAAUGGAACCAAGUUGAAAGCACACUUCAAGAUAUUAUCCAGUAGAACUUCCCCAGUCUAGCAAGAUAGGCUAACAGUCAAAUUCAGUAAAUACAGAGAACACCACUAAGUUACUCCUUGAGAAGAGCAACCCUAAGAUACAUAAUUGUCAGAUUCUCUAAGGUUGGAAUGAAGGAAAAAAUGUUAAUGGCAGCCAGAGAGAAAGGUCAGGUUACCUACAAAGGGAAGCCCAUCAGACUAACAGAAGAUCUCUCUGCAGAAAUGCUACAAGCCAGAAGAGUGUGGGGGCCAAUAUUCAACACUCUUAAAGAAAACAAUUUGCAACCCAUAAUUUCAUAUCCAUCAAAACUAAGCUUCAUAAGCAAAGGAGAAUUAAAAUCCUUUACAGACAAGCAAAUGCUUAGGGCUUUUGUCACCAACAGGCCUGCCUUACAAGAGCUCUUGAAGGGAGCACUAAAUAUGGAAAGGAAAAACUGGUACCAGCCACUUCAAAAACACACCAAACUAUAAAGGCCAAUGACACAAUGAAGAAACUGCAUCAACUAAUGUGUAAAAUAACCAGCUAGCAUCACAAUGACAGGAUCAAAUUCACACCCAACAAUAUUAACCUUAAAUGUAAAUGGGCUAAAUUCCCCAAUUAAAAGACACAGAGUGGCAAACUGGAUAGAGAGUCAAGACCCAUUGGGAUGCUGUAUUCAGGAGACCCAUCUCAUGUGUAAAGACACACAUGGCUCAGAAUAAAGGAAUGGAAGAAUAUUUACCAAGCAAAUGGAAAUUAAAAAAAAAAGCAGGGGUUGCAAUCCUAGUCUUUGAUAAAACAUACUUUAAACCAACAGAGAUAAAAAAAGACAAAGAAGGGCAUUACAUAAUGGUAAAGGGAUCAACACCACAAGAAGAGCUAACUAUUCUAUAUAUGCACCCAAUGCAGGAGCACCCAGAUUCAUAAAAUGAGUUCUUAGAGACCUACAAAGAGACUUAGACUCCCACACAAUAAUAAUGGGAGCCUUUAACACCCCACUGUCAAUAUUAGACCGAUCAACAAGACAGAAAAUUAACAAGGAUAUCUUGGACUUGAAAUCAGCUCUGGCCCAAGCAGACCUAAUAGACAUCUACAGAACUCUCCACCCCAAAUCCACAGAAUACACACACUUCUCAGAACCACAUAGCACUUACUCUAAAAUGGACCAAAGAACCUCAGCAAAUGCAAAAGAAUGGAAAUCAUAACAGACAGUCUCUCAGACGACAGUGCAAUCAAAUUAGAACUCAGGAUUAAAAAACUCAUCCAAAACCACACAACUACAUGGAAACUGAACAACCUGAUCCUGAAUGACUACUGGGCAAAUAACAAAAUUAAGGCAGAAAUAACGAAGUUAUUUGAAACCAAUAAGAAAGAAGAGACAACAUACCAGAAUAUCUGGGACACAGGUAAAGCAGUGUUUAGAGGGAAAUCUAUAGCACUAAAUGCCAUGUCAGAAAGCAGGAAAGAUCUGAAAUUGACACCUUAAAUCACAAUGAAAAGAACUAGAGAAGCAAGAGCAAACAAAAUUGAAAGCUGGCAGAAGACAAGAAAUAACUAAGAUAAGAGCAGAACUGAAAGAGACAGGAAAGACCCUUCCAAAAAAUCAAUGAAUUGAGGAGCUUGUUUUUUAAAAAGAUUGAUAGACAGACUGCUAGCCAGACAAUAAAGAAGAAAAGAAAGAAGAAUCAAAUAGACACAAUAAAAAAAUGAUAAAGAGGAUAUCACCACUGAUCUCACAGAAAUACAAACUACCAUCAGACUAGAAAAUUUAGAAGAAAUGGGUACAAUCCUGUACAUAUACACCCUCCCAAGACUAAACCAGGAAGAAGUCAAAUCCCUGAAUAAACGAAUAAGUAUUGAAAUUGAGGCAGUAAUUAAUAGCCUACCAACCAAAAAAAGCCCAGGACCAGAUGGAUUCACAGCCAAAUUCUACCACAGGUAGAAAGAGGAGCUGGUACCAUUCCUUCUGAAACUAUUUCAAGCAACAGAAAAAGAGCGACUCCUCCAUAACUUAUUUAAUGAGGCCAGGAUCGUCCUGAUACCAUGACCUGGCAGAGACACAACAAAAAUAGAAAAUUUUGGGCCAAUAUCCCUGAAGAACAUCAUGGUGAAAAUCCUUAAUAAAAUACGGCUAACCGAAUCCAGCAGCACAUCAAAAAGCUUAUCCACCACAAUCAAGUCAGCUUCAUCCCUGGGAUGCAAGGCUGGUUCAACCUAUGCAAAUCAAUAAAUGUAAUCCAUCACGUAAAUAGAAUUAAUGACAAAACCACAUGAUUAUCCCAAUAGAUGCAGAAAAGGCCUUCAAUAAAAUUCAACACCCCUUCAUACUAAAAACUCACAAUAAACUAGGUAUUGAUGGAACACAUCUCAAAAUAGUAAUAGCUAUUUAUGACAAAUCCAUAGCCAAUAUCAUACUGAGUGGGAAAAAGCUGAAAGCAUUCCUUUAAAAACCGGCACAAGACAAGGAUGCCUUCUCUCACCACUCCUAUUCAGCAUAGUGUUGGAAGUUCUGGCCAGGGCAAUCAGGAAAGAGAAAGAAAUAAAGGGUAUGCAAAUAGGAAGAGAGGAAGUCAAAUUGUCUCUGUUUGCAGAUGACAUGAUUGUAUAUUUAGACAAUCCCAUCAUCUCAGCCCAAAAUCUCCUUAAGCUAAUAAACAACUUCAGCAAAAAGUCUCAGGAUACAAAAUCAAAGUGCAAAAAUCACAAGCAUUUCUAUACACCAAUAAUAGAGAAGCAGAGAGCCAAAUCAUGAAUGAACUCCCAUUCACAAUUGCUGCAAAGAGAAUACAAUGUACCUAGGAAUACAACUUACAAGGGAUGUGAAGGAUCUCUUCAAAGAGAACUACAAACCACUGCUCAAGGAAAUAAGAGAGGACACAAACAAGCGGAAAAACAUUCCAUGCUCAUGGAUAGGAAGAAUCAAUAUCAUGAAAAGGCCCAUACUGCCCAAAGUAAUUUAUAGAUUCAAUGCUAUUCCCAUCAAGCUACCAUUGACUUUCUUCACAGAAUUAGAAAAAACUACUUUAAAUUUCAUAUGGAACGAAAAAAGUCCGUAUAGCCAAGACAAUCCUAAGCAAAAAGAACAAAGCUGGAGGCAGCACACUACCUGACUUCAAGCUAUACUUCAAGGCUACAGUAACCCAAACAGCAUGGUAUUGGUACCAAAACAGAUAUAUAGACCAACUAAACAGAAACAGAGGCCUUAGAAAUAACACCACACAUCUACAACUACAACCAUCUGAUCUUCAACAAACCUGACAAAAACAAGCAAUGAGGAAAGGAUUCCCUAUUUAAUAAAUGUUACUGGAAAAGCUGGCUAGCUACAUGCAGAAAACAGAAACUGGACCCCUUCCUUACACCUUAUACAAAAAUUAACUCGAGAUGGAUUAAAGACUUAAAUGUAAGACUUAAAACCAUAAAAACCCUAGAAGAAAACCUAGGCGGUACCAUUCAGGACAUAGGCAUGGGCAAAGACUUCAUGACUAAAACACCAAAAGCAAUGACAACAAAAGCCAAAAUUGACAAAUGGGAUCUAAUUAAACUAAAGAGGUUCUGCAAAGGAAAAUCUCAUCAGAGUGAAUAGGCAACCUAUAGAAUGGGAGAAAAUUUUUACAAUCUAUCCAUCUGAGAAAGGUCUAAUAUCCAGAAUCUACAAGGACUUAAACAAAUUUACAAGAAAAGAAACAGCCCCAUCAAAAAAUGCGUGAAGAAUAUGAACAGAUACUUCUCAAAAGAAGACAAUUAUAUGGCCAACAAACAUAUGAAAAAAACCUCGUCGGUGGUCAUUAGAGAAAUGCAAGUCAAACCCACAAUGAGAUACCACAUCACACCAGUUAGAAUGGCAACCACUAAAAAGCCAGGGAACAACAAUGCUGGCAAGGCUGUGGAGAAAUAGGAACACUUUUACACUGUUGGUGGGAGUGUAAAUUAGUUCAGCCAUUGUGGAAGACUGUGGCGAUUCCUCAAGGAUCUAGAACCAGAAGUACCAUUUGACCCAGCAAUCUCAUUACUGGGUAUAUACCCAAAGGAUUAUAAAUCAUUCUACCAUAACAACACAUGUACCCAAAAUGUUUAUUGCAGCACUAUGUAUAAUAGCAAAGGCUUGGAACCAACCCAAAUGCCCAUCAAUGAUAGACUGGAUAAAGAACAUGUGGCACAUAUACACCAUGGAAUACUAUGCAGCCAUAAAAAGAAUGAGUUCACGUCCUUUGCAGGGACGUGGAUGAAGCUGGAAAUCAUCAUUCUCAGCAAACUGACACAAGAACAGAAAACCAAACACUGCAUGUUCUCACUCGUAAGUGGGAAUUGAACCAUGAGAACACAUGGACACAGAAAGGGGACCAUCACACACUCGGGCCUGUCGGAGGGCUGGGGACAAGGGGAAGGAGAACAUUAGGACAAAUACCUAAUGCAUGUGGUGCUUAAAACCAAGACAACAGGUUGGUAAGUGCAGCAAACCGCCGUGGUGCAUGUAUACCUAUGUAACAAACCUGCACGUUCUGUAUGUGUAUCCCGGAACUUAAAGUUAAAAAAGGAAAUGUUGCGUAGACCUCAGGGAUGCUUGGAUCCCAGCUCUAUGAAUGAAAUGUUAUAUAGGAACUCAGAUCUCAGAGGAGAAAAAACAUAUUAGGUCAUUAACAGCUCAGCAUGGAUUAGGUUUCUGGCCUUUCAUGGAGUGAGGAAGAAUGCUUUAGGGUCCUGGGUGUCUAAAGCAACAGAUAAUAAAAACUGGUAGACUCCCUGACUCUUACCUGUCAACAAUGCCCAGUUUUUUUACCAUAUGACACAUGGUAAAUAUUCACAAUGAGAUUAUGCUCUUUCUUUGUAGCCAUUUUUAAUUGAACCCUGCCAAGGGGCUUCAACUGGGUUCAGUGUAUUAAUAUCUUUACUUUUAAAUAUCUGAAGUUAAUAUGGAAAGCUGCUAAGAUUUUUGAAAUGGGAUUGUGUUUCAAUAUCUCUGUAACCAUUAUAAAAUUUAAAUUGAAACCAUUAUAAAAUUUAAAAAAACAAGAACAGGAGUCUUGCCUUCAGCAUUUAGGUGAUGCCCUACUGAAAAGUGUGUCUUUGAUGCUUACAAAGUUUUCAUUUGUUUAGUUUUGUUUUGUUUUGAGACAAGGUUUGGCUCUAUCACCCAGGCUGGAGUGCAGUGGCCCAAUCUUGGCCCAUUACAACCUCCAUCUCCUGGGCUCAAGCCAUCCUCCUACCUCAGCUUCUAGAGUAGCUGGGACUACAGGCAUGCACCUCCACGCCCAGCUAAUUUUUUGUAUUUUUAGUAGAGAUGAGGUUUUGUUGUGUUGCCCAGGCUGGUCUUGAAGUCCUGAGCUCAAGCGAUCUGCUUGCCUCAGCCUCCCAAAGUGCUGGGAUUACAGGUGUGAGCCACCAUGCCCAUCCAGAAGUGUUUUAAGAGGCAGAAAGACAGUCAGAAAAAUGACAGCUUGGUUGGGAUCAAAUCUUGUAAAAUUUCUGGUAAUAUGAUUAACUCUAUGCUCCUCUUUUCUAUGCUAGCAAAAGGUGUCUAGGAUGCCAGAAGAUUAAUAGAACUGUCUUAUUUCUAAAACAAAUAGACAUCUCAUAGCACAUGCUGAUACUGUCGGGAGAGCAGAAAAACAAGGAGCAGAUUGGGAGAUUGGGAGACACCUUUUCUUUGUAAUACCUGCUUGCUGAGGGAGCGCUGAGGAUCAACGGGUUGUUUGUUUUGUUUUUUUUUUUUAUUUUUAUUUUUAUUUAAAAGAAGAUGGGGUUUCACCAUGAUUGCCAGGCUGGUCUUGAACUCCUGACCUCAGGUGAUCCACCCACCUCGGCCUCCCAAAGUGCUAAGAUUACAGGUGUCAGCCACCACACCCGGCGGGUUGUUUUUUUAAUAAUUGAUUAUCAGUUCCCACUUUCUUUGUCCCAAGUGAUUAAAGGUAUUUUUGAAGUGUUAUUCAUAAUAGCAAAAAACUUGAAAACAAUUCAAAUGCUUGUAUGAGAUUAAAUGAUGAUGAUGAUACGUUUUGUACAAUGAAGUACUAAAAAGAGUUAAGCACUUCUAGGACUGCUAACAUGGCAUCUGUCUAAAAAGGCACUUUCUCCCGAUGGAGGUAGCCUGGCAGAAUCACAGACCGAGGACUGAUUUCCACCUCCUCUUGUCGCCUUGGACAAGCACCCCUGCUCAGGACACAAUUCUACUGGUGGUACUGGCUAGAUUUAUGCUAACCUUAUAGAAGAUGACCACUUUAUGUUACGGAAUGAACUAUGUAUAUGCCAUAAAUUUAUAUCAUCCGAUCCUAUUUUUAAACAUUGGAGUAUAUGUAUUUGAAAAUGCACAGGACAGAAAUUCUCUGGAACGUUGUAUAUUCACACUACUAAUCAUUGGUUGAAUCCAGGAGGUGAGGUUGGAGUUGAAGAGGGGAGAGAGUUGUUUUUACUUUAUACAGUUCUCUGCUAUUUUAAUUUUUAUGUUAGCAUAUUUUGCAUUUGUGAUUGUAAUAUAUUUUAAAUUGUAUUGGUAAAAAUUAGAAAUGGGACUAUAAUUAAACUCAUCACAAAAGAAUUUAAACUCACCACCUCGUAACUCUGCCUUGCAGUUUUAUGCACGGUACUUGAAGAGAAAAUCAUGACUCCAUGAAAUCACGAGAAGAGAUGAGUGGGGUGGCUGUUCUACAUCGUGGUUCAAUACACCUCUGUGUUCAUCUUCCUUAGAAACCUUAUGUAUUGUAUCCUGUUGGUUGAAAAUGGAUUAUUUGAACUAUGGCAUAACCUUGAACUGAAAAGUCUUUGUUCUUAUCAUAUAAUUAUUAUAUUCUUCUAACUUGGAUCACAACUGCAUUUUAUAAUCCCAAUAGAUAAUCUGUAAGACAUGA